rnacentral:lncRNA from 1 species
UCAAUUAGGAAACGGGCUCAUGACACAAAAAUGAAGGCACCCUCUAUGCGCAUAGGAGGCCUGAUCACUCUUAUUUUACUGAGGGCUGGAGUUCAGAUGAAUGAUGAACCAAUCGGUUUUAAGUUAAUGGAUGCACUUCAUUUGGCCAAAACUACAUUUCUUGAAGGUUCUGUGGGUGAUUCUUUUGCCUAUAACCUCAGCAUUGAUAAGAAAGUGAAAAUGAGAGUGCUGCUGCCUAAUCCUUCCC